AUUGAACGCUGGCGGCAGGCCUAACACAUGCAAGUCGAACGAGCGGCGGACGGGUGAGUAAUGUCUGGGAAUCUGCCUGAUGGAGGGGGAUAACUACUGGAAACGGUAGCUAAUACCGCAUACCAUCAGAUGUGCCCAGAUGGGAUUAGCUAGUUGGUGGGGUAACGGCUUACCAAGGCGACGAUCCCUAGCUGGUCUGAGAGGAUGACCAGCCACACUGGAACUGAGACACGGUCCAGACUCCUACGGGAGGCAGCAGUGGGGAAUAUUGCACAAUGGGCGCAAGCCUGAUGCAGCCAGGCCGCGUGUAUGAAGAAGGCCUUCGGGUUGUAAAGUACUUUCAGCGGGGAGGCGUUACCCGCAGAAGAAGCACCGGCUAACUCCGUGCCAGCAGCCGCGGUAAUUC
rnacentral:rRNA from 1 species